rnacentral:rRNA from 1 species
UACGAAGGGGGCGAGCGUUGUUCGGAUUUACUGGGCGUAAAGGGCGCGCAGGCGGCGCAUUUUGUCAGGCGUGAAAGCCCCGGGCUUAACCUGGGAACUGCGUCUGAUACUGGAUGGCUUGAGUUUGGGAGAGGGACGCGGAAUUCCAGGUGUAGCGGUGAAAUGCGUAGAUAUCUGGAGGAACACCGGUGGCGAAGGCGGCGUCCUGGACCAACACUGACACUGAUGAGCGAAAGCCAGGGGAGCAAACGGG